UACGGAGGGGGCAAGCGUUGUUCGGAUUUAUUGGGCGUAAAGAGUCUGUAGGCGGCAUAGCAAGUCAGAUGUGAAAUCUCUGAGCUUAACUCAGAAACUGCAUUUGAUACUGCUAAGCUAGAGUACCAAAGAGGCAAAUGGAAUUCUCGGUGUAAGAGUGAAAUCUGCAGAUAUCGAGAAGAACACCAGUGGCGAAGGCGAUUUGCUGGGUGGAUACUGACGCUGAGAGACGAAAGCUAGGGGAGCGAACGGG
rnacentral:rRNA from 1 species